CCCGGGCCUUGUACACACCGCCCGUCACACCACGAAAGUCGGCAAUACCCGAAGCCGGUGGCCUAACCCGCAAGGGAGGCAGCCGUCGAAGGUAGGGUCGAUGAUUGGGGUG
rnacentral:rRNA from 1 species